AAAGGUGCAUGAGUGGUGUUUGGUUUGUUACGGGUGGUUGGCUCUUUGCUUGUGCAACAACUUCCACCUGGCAUACCUCUUCAGUCUUGUGUCAAUGCUGGUAUUGCAUUGAAUGCACGGUGGGUUUCUUGUGUUGCAUGCCUAAUUGAUGGUAUCAUUUGAUGAAUUGAUGUCUAUUUCGUCUUGUGUCGCACAUGCGAUGUGAGAUGAACCUUAAAGCAGCCUUUGUGAUCCACUCUUUUGAUGCACACGCAUUGAUUUUGUGGCCUAUUGAGUGUUGCUUGGUCUCAUGGAUAUGGAACCUUGUGUGGGCAUGGUAUCUUUUACUAGUUCCUUGUUUGCCCUAGUUAAGCUUUUCAAAUACGAUUUCCUAUCAUGU
rnacentral:misc_RNA from 1 species